UACGGAGGAUGCAAGCGUUAUCCGGAAUGAUUGGGCGUAAAGCGUCCGCAGGCGGCAAUGUAAGUCUGCUGUUAAAGAGUCUAGCUCAACUAGAUAAAAGCAGUGGAAACUACAUAGCUAGAGUACGUUCGGGGCAGAGGGAAUUCCUGGUGUAGCGGUGAAAUGCGUAGAGAUCAGGAAGAACACCAGUGGCGAAGGCGCUCUGCUGGGCCGUAACUGACGCUGAGGCACGAAAGCGUGGGUAGCGAACAGG
rnacentral:rRNA from 1 species